UUAAGCGACUAAGCGUACACGGUGGAUGCCCUGGCAGUCAGAGGCGAUGAAGGACGUGCUAAUCUGCGAAAAGCGUCGGUAAGGUGAUAUGAACCGUUACAGCCGGCGAUGUCCGAAUGGGGAAACCCAGUGCAAUUCGUUGCACUAUCGUUAACUGAAUACAUAGGUUAACGAGGCGAACCGGGGGAACUGAAACAUCUAAGUACCCCGAGGAAAAGAAAUCAACCGAGAUUCCCCCAGUAGCGGCGAGCGAACGGGGAGCAGCCCAGAGUCUGAAUCAGCUUGUGUGUUAGUGGAACGGUCUGGAAAGUCCGACGGUACAGGGUGAUAGUCCCGUACACCAAAAUGCACAGGCUGUGAACUCGAAGAGUAGGGCGGGACACGUGGUAUCCUGUCUGAAUAUGGGGGGACCAUCCUCCAAGGCUAAAUACUCCUGACUGACCGAUAGUGAACCAGUACCGUGAGGGAAAGGCGAAAAGAACCCCGGCGAGGGGAGUGAAAAAGAACCUGAAACCGUGUACGUACAAGCAGUGGGAGCACCUUCGGGUGUGACUGCGUACCUUUUGUAUAAUGGGUCAGCGACUUAUAUUCUGUAGCAAGGUUAACCGUAUAGGGGAGCCGCAGGGAAACCGAGUCUUAACUGGGCGUUAAGUUGCAGGGUAUAGACCCGAAACCCGGUGAUCUAGCCAUGGGCAGGUUGAAGGUUGGGUAACACUAACUGGAGGACCGAACCGACUAAUGUUGAAAAAUUAGCGGAUGACUUGUGGCUGGGGGUGAAAGGCCAAUCAAACCGGGAGAUAGCUGGUUCUCCCCGAAAGCUAUUUAGGUAGCGCCUCGUGAAUUCAUCUUCGGGGGUAGAGCACUGUUUCGGCUAGGGGGUCAUCCCGACUUACCAACCCGAUGCAAACUACGAAUACCGAAGAAUGUUAUCACGGGAGACACACGGCGGGUGCUAACGUCCGUCGUGAAGAGGGAAACAACCCAGACCGCCAGCUAAGGUCCCAAAGUCAUGGUUAAGUGGGAAACGAUGUGGGAAGGCACAGACAGCCAGGAUGUUGGCUUAGAAGCAGCCAUCAUUUAAAGAAAGCGUAAUAGCUCACUGGUCGAGUCGGCCUGCGCGGAAGAUGUAACGGGGCUAAACCAUGCACCGAAGCUGCGGCAGCGACACUAUGUGUUGUUGGGUAGGGGAGCGUUCUGUAAGCCUGCGAAGGUGUGCUGUGAGGCAUGCUGGAGGUAUCAGAAGUGCGAAUGCUGACAUAAGUAACGAUAAAGCGGGUGAAAAGCCCGCUCGCCGGAAGACCAAGGGUUCCUGUCCAACGUUAAUCGGGGCAGGGUGAGUCGACCCCUAAGGCGAGGCCGAAAGGCGUAGUCGAUGGGAAACAGGUUAAUAUUCCUGUACUUGGUGUUACUGCGAAGGGGGGACGGAGAAGGCUAUGUUAGCCGGGCGACGGUUGUCCCGGUUUAAGCAUGUAGGCUGGUUAUCCAGGCAAAUCCGGAUAAUCAAGGCUGAGGUGUGAUGACGAGGCACUACGGUGCUGAAGUAACAAAUGCCCUGCUUCCAGGAAAAGCCUCUAAGCAUCAGGUAACAUCAAAUCGUACCCCAAACCGACACAGGUGGUCAGGUAGAGAAUACCAAGGCGCUUGAGAGAACUCGGGUGAAGGAACUAGGCAAAAUGGUGCCGUAACUUCGGGAGAAGGCACGCUGGUGUGUAGGUGAAGUCCCUGCGGAUGGAGCUGAGACCAGUCGAAGAUACCAGCUGGCUGCAACUGUUUAUUAAAAACACAGCACUGUGCAAACACGAAAGUGGACGUAUACGGUGUGACGCCUGCCCGGUGCCGGAAGGUUAAUUGAUGGGGUUAUCCGUAAGGAGAAGCUCUUGAUCGAAGCCCCGGUAAACGGCGGCCGUAACUAUAACGGUCCUAAGGUAGCGAAAUUCCUUGUCGGGUAAGUUCCGACCUGCACGAAUGGCGUAAUGAUGGCCAGGCUGUCUCCACCCGAGACUCAGUGAAAUUGAACUCGCUGUGAAGAUGCAGUGUACCCGCGGCAAGACGGAAAGACCCCGUGAACCUUUACUAUAGCUUGACACUGAACAUUGAGCCUUGAUGUGUAGGAUAGGUGGGAGGCUUUGAAGCGUGGACGCCAGUCUGCGUGGAGCCAACCUUGAAAUACCACCCUUUAAUGUUUGAUGUUCUAACGUUGGCCCCUUACCGGGGUUGCGGACAGUGUCUGGUGGGUAGUUUGACUGGGGCGGUCUCCUCCCAAAGCGUAACGGAGGAGCACGAAGGUUAGCUAAUCCUGGUCGGACAUCAGGAGGUUAGUGCAAUGGCAUAAGCUAGCUUGACUGCGAGCGUGACGGCGCGAGCAGGUGCGAAAGCAGGUCAUAGUGAUCCGGUGGUUCUGAAUGGAAGGGCCAUCGCUCAACGGAUAAAAGGUACUCCGGGGAUAACAGGCUGAUACCGCCCAAGAGUUCAUAUCGACGGCGGUGUUUGGCACCUCGAUGUCGGCUCAUCACAUCCUGGGGCUGAAGUAGGUCCCAAGGGUAUGGCUGUUCGCCAUUUAAAGUGGUACGCGAGCUGGGUUUAGAACGUCGUGAGACAGUUCGGUCCCUAUCUGCCGUGGGCGCUGGAGAAUUGAGGGGGGCUGCUCCUAGUACGAGAGGACCGGAGUGGACGCAUCACUGGUGUUCGGGUUGUCAUGCCAAUGGCACUGCCCGGUAGCUAAAUGCGGAAGAGAUAAGUGCUGAAAGCAUCUAAGCACGAAACUUGCCCCGAGAUGAGUUCUCCCUGAGACUUUAAGUCUCCUGAAGGAACGUUGAAGACGACGACGUUGAUAGGCCGGGUGUGUAAGCGCAGCGAUGCGUUGAGCUAACCGGUACUAAUGAACCGUGAGGCUUAACCU
rnacentral:rRNA from 1 species